rnacentral:pre_miRNA from 1 species
AGCAGAAUUGCUGAAUCACAUGGUGUUUUGAUGUUUACAUUUUUAAAGGAAUCACUAUAAUGUUUUCCACAAUGGUUGUAUCAUUUUGCAUUCUCAUCAACAAU